rnacentral:rRNA from 1 species
UACGUAGGGUCCAAGCGUUAUCCGGAAUUACUGGGCGUAAAGCGCACGUAGGCGGCUUUGUAAGUUAGAGGUGAAAGCCCGGGGCUCAACUCCGGAAUUGCCUUUAAGACUGCAUCGCUAGAAUUGUGGAGAGGUAAGUGGAAUUCCGAGUGUAGAGGUGAAAUUCGUAGAUAUUCGGAAGAACACCAGUGGCGAAGGCGACUUACUGGACACAUAUUGACGCUGAGGUGCGAAAGCGUGGGGAGCAAACAGG